UAGAUUUAAUCAGGAUAACCUAAC
rnacentral:siRNA from 1 species